rnacentral:rRNA from 1 species
CCUACGGGUGGCUGCAGUGGGGAAUAUUGGGCAAUGGGCGCAAGCCUGACCCAGCAACGCCGCGUGAAGGAAGAAGGCUUUCGGGUUGUAAACUUCUUUUAUCAGGGACGAAGCAAGUGACGGUACCUGACGCAUAAGCCACGGCUAACUACGUGCCAGCAGCCGCGGUAAUACGUAGGUGGCAAGCGUUAUCCGUAUUUAUUGGGUGUAAAGGGCGUGUAGGCGGGAAUGCAAGUCAGAUGUGAAAACUAUGGGCUCAACCCAUAGCCUGCAUUUGAAACUGUAUUGCUUGAGUGCUGGAGAGGCAAGCGGAAUUCCGGGGGUAGCGGUGAAAUGCGUAGAGAUACGGAGGAACACCAGUGGCGAAGGCGGAUUGCUGGACAGUAACUGACGCUGAGGCGCGAAAGCGUGGGGAGCAAACAGGAUUAGAUACCCGAGUAGUC